UGCCCNCUGAUUAAAUAUUAAAGGGCUGCAGUAUUUUGACUGUACAAAGGUAGCAUAAUCAUUAGUCAUUUAAUUGAUGACUUGUAUGAAAGAUUGGAUGAAAUAUAAACUGUCUUUAAAAUAAAUUAUAGAAUUUAAUUUUUUAAUUAAAAAGUUAAAAUGUUUUAAAAAGACGAGAAGACCCUAUAGAGUUUUAUUUAAAGUUAAAUUAAGAUUUUAUAUAAGUUUAAUAGUUUAAAUUUUUUUUUUUAUUUUGUUGGGGUGAUAGAAAAAUUAAAUAAACUUUUUUUUAUUGAUAAACAUAGAUAAAUGAUUAAAUGAUCCAGUUUUAUUGAUUAUAAGAAAAAAUUACCUUAGGGAUAACAGCGUAAUUUUUUUUUUUAGUUCAUAUAAAAAGAAGAGUUUGCGACCUCGAUGUUGGAUUAAGAUAAAAUUUAAAUGCAGAAGUUUAAAAUUUUGA
rnacentral:rRNA from 1 species